rnacentral:rRNA from 1 species
GUCUAAUGCCAUACCACCCUGAUCCUGGAAGUUAAGCAGGGUCGGGCCUGGCCAGGACUUGGAUGGGAAAACCGGCUAGGAAUACUGGAAGCAGUAUGCU